rnacentral:tRNA from 1 species
GGCAGGGUAGCAAAGUGGUCUAAUGCAGCGGCCUUAAGCGCCAUUCGCGGGUUCGAACCCCGCCCUUGCCA